rfam:Bacteroidetes oral taxon 274 str. F0058 genomic scaffold supercont1.1, whole genome shotgun sequence.
GGUCCGGUAGCUCAGCUGGAUAGAGCAACAGCCUUCUAAGCUGUGGGUCAGGGGUUCGAAUCCCUUCCGGAUCA